rnacentral:misc_RNA from 1 species
GCUCGAGAAUAUGUGCUGGAGGAUCUGGCAUCUCACCAGGAAGAAGAAGAAGUUGGAAUGGGAAGAUUUUCAAAGGCUGACACACCGGAGAUGGGAGAGGGAGCAGGGACGGAGGGAUGCUACGGAGGACAUGUCGGAGGAUCUAUCCGAGGGGGAGAAGGGUGAUGCAGUGGGGGAAAUGGUGCAGAGCGAGACGCCGAGGAAGAAACUGCAAAGGAACUUCUCCGAUGUUCCAUUGUGGUCUGAUGAUAACAAGGGGAAGAAACUCUAUAUUGUCCUCAUCAGUUUGCAUGGUCUAGUCCGUGGUGAUAAUAUGGAGCUUGGUCGUGAUUCUGAUACAGGUGGUCAGGUGAAAUAUGUCGUGGAACUAGCUCGAGCACUUUCUA